GUGCUCACUCUGGUAGUACAUAUACUAAAAUUAGAAUGAUAGAAAAUUAGCAUGGCCCCUGUGCAAGAAUGAUACGCAGAUUCAUGAAGCAUUCCAUGUUUUU
ensembl:snRNA U6 U6 spliceosomal RNA